rnacentral:rRNA from 1 species
UACAGGGGGGUGCAAGCGUUUAUUCGGAAUUAUUGGGCGUAAAGAGCGUGUAGGUGGUUCGUUAAGUCUGGUGUGAAAUCCCUGGGCUCAAUCCAGGAAGUGCAUUGGAUACUGGCGGACUAGAGUGCAGGAGAGGAGAGCGGAAUUCCAGGUGUAGAGGUGAAAUUCGUAGAUAUCGGGAGGAACACCGGUGGCGAAGGCGGCGAUCUGGGGUCGAUACUGACGCUGAGGUGCGAAAGCGUGGGGAGCGAACAGG